rnacentral:lncRNA from 1 species
GGUUUCGAUGCGCAGGGAUAAUUGAGAGGGAAAUGCUUCAGAGCCAAUUUUUGUUAAGGAUGUAUGACAGUGAGAGUUACACCGUGAAGAAUCAAGAGCAAGACAGAGCAGCAGGGGCACUUACUUUAAGUUGGAUGGAUCAGCCUCUUUACAUAGUCUCAGCAUGGACACCAGUUGAUGUAGCAGGCAAUGUUGGAGAGUCGACCUUUUGUAAUUAGUUUAGUUACCUAUUUGGGUCCUUGUAAUCAUGAUGUAAUUAGGAUAGUUAUUUGAUGUUUCUUUCCUUGUAAAUAAUCCUUGUACGAUAUAUUUUCCUCCUUGGUGAGAAGAAUAAUAUUAGUGAAUCAAACCCCAAGAUAAGCCCCAAUUAGCAUGGUAUCAGAGCAGAGAUCCUAGGAUUUCUGCUUUGCCCGUUCCUUCAAACAAACUCGGCCCUCCCACGGAGAACCUACCUCCACUCCACGGUGGAAACAACCUCAUCCUAACCGAUCAUACCCCUAUACUAAACACUACUACCCUAACCGACCCUACCAUGAAUCAUACUCCACCUCUACAGUAAGUUGUUACACAAAUUGUUCAUCAUGAUUCUUCUACCUCUUCGAUUAGCAUCAAACUCAAUGGUGCCAAUUAUGGAGUUUGGUCUCAAAUUGUUGAGAUGUUCAUUGUUGGAAAAGACAAGUUGGGCUACUUGUUUGGAAGUAAUCCCCAACCACCUAACGAUGAUACGGCCUUCACCAAAUGGCGUACGAAGAAUGCCAUUGUGAAGGGUUGGCUCAUCAAUUCUAUGGAACCCAAUUUGAUUGGGUAUUUUCUUCGACUACCGACGACAAAAGAAGUGUGGGACGUAGUUGCUCGCACAUAUUAUGACGGCUCUGAUAUAUCUCAAGUUUACGAUCUUACCUGCAAGGCUUUUUGCAUAAGGCAAGACAGACGACCGAUGGAGACAUACUAUAAUGAUCUUUAGUCUUUAUAGCAAGAGAUUGAUUAUCGUCGACCCAAUCUAAUGAAGUACAGUACUGAUAUUGAAAUUUAUAAUAAAAUUGUUCAAACGGAUCGUGUGUAUACUUUGCUUGCAGGAUUGGAUGAGAUAUUUGAUAAAAUUCAUAGUGAUAUUCUACGAACUGAGCCUCUUCCUUCCGUCCAACAAACAUUUGCCUAUGUUCGCCGAGAAGGAAUGCGACAUGCUAUUAUGAAUACCGGAGGAUAGCUGCCUAGUGGGGCAGCGAUGGUGGCUCUACCUGCAGCAUGAGUUGCGGUUCUAUCUAGUCCCCGCGCUCCUAAGAAGUCACUUGCACUAAGCCCAAGACUGCAACCUCAGGCUACUGCCACAACCCCAUCAUAAGGCUUUCUCUUCAUUGCCAAGAUUGCCUCACGACCCACCUUAGGCCCUCACCCUCCUCGUUCCAAACCACCUGUCCUAAUUGGUGGUUGUACUGACUGUGGUAGUGAGAAGCACGGCUACAACAAUUUUUUUUCAGUUGCUCCACUAUCUUGACUAGUAGGAACCAUUGAAGCUUCAGAAACAACGGGAACGAGACGUGCAAGCCAAGCUGGUCAAGCCAAUCUUUCCACCUUUGUGUCCCAACUAUCUUUGAUAUCUCAAGAUGAUUCUCCUCCUGUUUCGAGUUCUUCCGACAUGCUUUCGGAGUCCUUAGGUAACUAUGGUUAUGCUUUUAAUAUGAAUCAUGAUGAUACUCUGUCCAGUUGGAUCAUUGACUCCGAUGCCACGUACCAUAUGACCUAUAACCCCAUUGAUUUAGCUUGUAAUACUGUUCCGCUUCGACGUAAUAUUACUAAUGCUAAUGGUGUCACUUCACCGGUCAUGGGUGCUAGCACUGUACGUUUCACGCCCACCCACUCUUUGCCUCAUACAUUACUUGUACCUUCACUAAAGCAUAAAUUGAUGUUUCUUGACCAAGCUAUUAAGCAAUUGAACUAUUGUGUACUAAUGUAUAUGAAGUUUUGUCUUAUUCAGGAUAUUCUCAUAAAUGAGAUAAUUGAUUGUGGUACUAAAAUGGGGGAUCUCUAUUUUAUAGAUGAUGUCAAUACAGGACGAGUCAAUCUCGCCUAAGAAGCCAGUGAUCACAAGCGACGUUAGAUAUGGUUAUGGCAUCACCUUUUGGGUCAUCUGUCUUUCAGUAAUUUACAACAUAUGUUUCUGGAUUUAUUUGUUAGUUGUUCAAUUUUAGACUUUAAAUGUGACACUUGCAUUCUUGCCAAGAGUCAUCGUGUUUCUUAUCCGUUGAAUUCUAAUAAAAGUGUUAUUCCUUUUGGUCUUGUUCAUUCGGAUGCUUGGGGAUCAUCUUCGAUUACUACUUCAUCUGGUAUUUAGUGGUUUGUUACUUUCAUAGAUGAUUGCACACGGAUGACAUAGUUGUACCUUCUUAAGCAUAAAAGUGAUGUGUUUUUGGCCUUUAAGACAUUCCACACCAUGGUUUAGACAUAAUUUUCUACUAAAAUCCGGAUUUUGCAUUCUGAUAAUGGCGGUGAAUAUGUUAAUAAUGAUUUUACACAUUAUUUAACUAAUCACGGAAUCCUCCACGAGACUACUUGUCCUCAGACUCCUCUAAAGAAUGAGGUGGUUGAGCGCAAAAACCGCCAUCUUUAGAAAUGGCUCGCCCAAUUUUGAUUGGGGCGCAUGUUCCCUGCACUUCUUGGGAUGUUGCUCUUCAGACGACCAUUUACCUCCUUAUCAACCGCAUGUCAUCCAAAGUAUUUGAUUUUCUUACACCUUUACAAGUUCUUGCUAACUUCAUGCUUCUACCAUCAAUUUUGGUACUCCGACCACGAGUUUUUGGAUGUGUUACAUUUGUUCAUCUACAUAAAAAUCAAUAGACGAAACUUGACCCGUGUGUUUUCCGUUGUAUUUUUAUGGGAUAUGGAUUACAUCAGAAAGGGUACUUUUGAUACCACCAUCCUUUCCGUUGGAUGUAUACUACCAUGGAUGUUACUUUUUUCCAAGUCUGAGAUGUAUUACUUUUCAGCUUUUUCCAACCCUACUCUACAGGGGAAGACAUUGCAUGAUGAGCAGGUUUGGACCAAGGCUGCUACGACUAAUCUUCUACUGCCACUAUUAGCCUAGCCUGCAGUGGCCGCACUGCCAGCCCAACUAACAGAAGCAGCAUUGCUGCCCACAGAAGUAUUGAUAGGCACGGCAAUGCCAUCCUCACCGACAGCAACAGUGCUUCCACUUGCCAAUCUUGAGACUUCUACUGAUACUACUCCCCUCUACCUCCAAAUAUAGUACCACCAGAUGACCAAACUCUUAAGAAUAUUCCUAAGGUAAGCUCUAUUAUCCCUAUUGAUGUAUCUAAUGUUCUGACUUAUCAGUUACCUUUCAGGCACAAUGGGGGAAAGCCACUCAAUCGGUAUUCACCGGAAACAACGAAAGGUUUUAAAACCCCAUUGCCAACUAUAUGUCAUCACAUAAAAUUAUCAGAACCUGGUAAAGCAUUUGUACAACAAAUAUCCAAUGAUAGCAAAACUAGUUCAUUGAAGGAGCCCCUAUCUGACAAUCGAUGAACCGCAAUGGAGGAAGAAAUGAAUGCACUUCAAAAGAAUCAAACAAGGGAUUUAGUUCCGCUACCCCGAGGAAAGAAGAAAGUUGGAUGUCGAUGGGUGUAUAUCAUCAAGUACAAAGCUGAUGGGUCUAUUGAACGAUACAAAGCAUGAUUGGUGGCCAAGGGAUACACUUAGAUGUAUGGUGUUGAUUAUAUAGAAACAUUUGCCCCGGUAGCAUAGAUUAAUACGGUAAGAGUAUUACUUUCAUUGACGGCUAACUUGGAUUGGCCAUUACAGCAAUUUGAUGUGAAAAAUGCUUUCUUACAUGGUAAUCUUAAAGAAGAAGUGUAUAUGGAUAUUCCAUCUGGUUAUGCAUCAAUUUCACAACCUGGAGUGGUGUGCAAGUUGAAUAAAGCAUUGUAUGGAUUGAAACAAUCACCUCACGCAUGGUUUGGUAGGUUCCGAAGAGCUAUGAGGAAGUAUGGGUUCAGGCAGAGUAAUUUCGAUCAUACACUUUUCUUGAAAUGUCGAAUGGGUAAAUUGACCGCACUUAUUAUUUAUGUGGAUGAUAUGAUUGUUACGGGUGAUGAUAAAGAGGAAAACUCAAGGCUAAAAGAUUACCUAGCAACCAAGUUCGAGAUGAAAGAUCUUGGUGGAUUGAAAUGUUUCUUGGGGAUAGAAGUAGCUCAAUCUAAACAAGGCAUAUUUCUAUCUCAAAGAAAAUAUGUUCUAGACUUGUUAGCUGAAAUAGGAAUGCUUGAUUGUAAAUCGACUAUAGUCUAAAAUAACCAUCUUGUCGUGCAUCCUGAUCAAGUUCCCAUUAACAAAGAUCUUUAUCAAAGGUUAGUCGGGAGGUUAAUUUAUUUAUCUCACACCAGGCCUAAUAUUGCAUAUGUAGUGUCAUUAGUCAGUUUAUGCAUUCUCCGAGUGAUACACAUAUGGGUGUGGUUGAACGCAUCCUACGAUACCUAAAAUCCUCCUCUAGUAGAGGCAUCAUGUUUUCCAAGAAUGAUCAUUGCCAAAUAGAAGGUUAUACUGAUGCAGAUUUGGCAGGAAACAUUACUGAUCGACGAUCCACAUCUGGAUACUUUACAUUUGUAGGGGAAAUUUAGUGACCUCAUAGAGUAAGAAACAGAAAGUGGUUGCUUUAUCAAGUGUAGAGGCGGAAUAUAGGGGCAUGGCAAAAGGAGUAUGUGAACUAUUAUGGCUUCGGAGGUUACUUGUUGAGCUCAGUUGUUCUUCAAAGUCGGCCUCAGAUUUGUUUUGUGAUAAUAAAGCAACUAUUGAUAUCUCACACAACCCAAUCCAGCAUGAUCGCACGAAACAUGUGGAAGUUGACAGACACUUCAUUAAGGAGAAGUUGGAUAGGAAUAUCAUUCAAUUCCCAUUCGUAAAGUCAGAGGAUCAAUUGGCGGACAUCUUAACUAAAGUUGUUGCGAGUCAAGCGUUCUACAACUCUCUCUUCAAGUUGGGCAUGAACGAUAUUUAUGCACCAACUUGAAGGGGAGUGUUGGAGAGUUGACCUUUUGUAAUUAGUUUAGUUACCUGUUUGGGUCCUUGUAAUCAAGAUGUAAUUAGGAUAGUUAUUUGAUGUUUCUUUCCUUGUAAAUCAUCCUUGUACAAUAUAUUCCUUGGUGAGAAAAAUAAUAUCAGUGAAUUAAACCCCAAGAUAGCCCUAAUUAAUAGGCAGCUCGUCAUCAUUUUCGGAACCAAGUUAAAUAGCCGCGGAUUUUAGUUUCUUAUUCGUACAUAAUAGUCACUUUUGAUUCCAUUGUUGCAUAGAGAAAAAAAGGAUACAAAAUUCUUUGUAGGUAGGGGAAAUCUCAUUAGUAUUCAAUUCAUUCAUUCUUUUGUUGCAGAUAAAUCGUCAGUCCGAUAAUGUCAUAAUCAUUUGUUAUGUAAGAAUUACAGCAGUUGUGAGGUGAUAUUUGAUUUCAAUUCUUUGUAGUCCUUGUUGUUGUCAGUAUUCGGAGUCAAUUCAAUUUCUGUUUAUUCUUUGAUUCUUUUUGUGAUGUUGAAAUUCUUUAUUGAACCAGUCAAGUAAAGUGAAGUCAUAUUAUCUGUUUGGUUGAUCAUUUGUUCUACUUUGUAUUAAUGGAUCAUUGAAAAUUUCAUUGUUACAUAUGAUAUUUAUGGCUCUUCUUCUUCUUCUUCUUCUUCUUCUUCUUCUAUCUUUCUCUCUCUCUGCAUUGGUAGUCUGCAAAUUCCAUUGAACAAUUUCAUGUGUAAUAAUAAAAGGGUGAGUCCGUAAGUAAGCAGCACAUGCUAAAGGAGUGAUAGUGUCACGUAAGUAUCAACGAACCAAAAAGAUGCUUGAAAACACCUUGUUUUGAUGUGAAAAUUUGGUAAUAAGAAUAGGCAAGUGGCAGAAUAAAUCAAUUGGAUUGGGUUUUCCUUGCUUAAGCAUGCAUGGAGCUUUCACAUUUGGUCGCCUAAAAUGUUUUCCUUGGUUUAAGUUUUAAGUCAUCUUUAAAUGUUAUCAUCAACAUAUCAUUUGAGCACUUUCAUUGAUUGAUGGAUGGCAAGAGCAAAGGCUUGAAAGAUGCCCUUCAACCCCAAAAAAAAAAUCACCUUCAGCAGGCCAAUUGAAGUAGGUAAGUGGUGGACCAUGUGAAGCCCGCCCAAAAGCUUGAACAAGUAAAGUAAUGCCCGGCCUUGCGCCAGCGGGCAAGGUUGAUUUCAGCAUGACACCAACCACAUUUUCCUUUUUUAUUGUGUUUGGUGUGUGUGAUACACUCGCAUCUUAAGCGAGUGGGUCGACAGCUUCUGAUGUCGUGGGCCCCGUGAUGCAAAAUAUAUAAGCACACAAAUUAAACCCUAUUUGUGACAAUUGUAGUAAUGAUGUAAGUAGGGAUCGUUCUAACCGGGGAUUAACUAGGGGUGCUAAACACUUGACUCAAAUAAAUAAAACUAACUUUUAAAACACUAAGACAAACCAAAAGACUCAAAACAAGUUCAAAAGACUCCAAAUACUUAAAAGCAUAAAAUAAGAUAGAUUUGAACGACUAAGACUUUAACAAAAUAUGGGGGGGGGGGGAAAUUGAGUUGUUUUUGACGAGAUUAAAUUAAAUGGACAGAUUAUAAUUAAGGGCAAAAUGUAAAUAUGAAUGCGAUGAAAAAUAUGGAUGAUGGAAUAGCUUAAGGGGUUCUUCUCCACACAUGUCACACUUGCAAUACAAGAUUGAUUCUCAGUUGGUCUUUCGAUAAAUUAUGAAACUCAACACCCUAGGUUAAUUAGGUCCGCUUAAAUUAACCGUCAAGUUCUCCUUAAGUUAAUGAAUUGGAUGGGUUUGCGCAACGCAAUUCACAACAUUCUCCAAAAGUCCUUUACGUGAAAAGCACAAUAAAGAUACAAUCAAAGAUCAUUAAGCAUCAUGAAAACUAUAAGUGUUGACGAGGCAUUCGUUACUAUGAAAAGCAUGAAACUAGUGCCAAGAAUUCAUUUAACGCGAUUGUUUAUAAGCAACCUCCACUACUUGUGAAUAUAAGUUCAUAACGAUUAGGUGAAACUCACUUAUAUUCUAGCGUCAUAUUUAUGCAUGAAAAUUAAGCGUGCACUCUCAAUAAACAUACAUAAAUAAGUUAUCAAUCAAAUGGUUAAACAAAUUGAAUCCACAACUUAUGAAAUUCCAACCAAAGGUAAUCAAUUCAUAUUGCAAGCAUAAACAUAGUUUCGAAUCACCCCCUAGCUAAAGGGGGGUUUAGUUCCUCAUACUUACAAGACAAAGAGAAUUGAAUUUAAACAUUGAAAUCAAAGAAACACCUAAACAUUCCAACAACUCAAACUUGAAUUGUAUGAACGUUUAGGCCCUCUUCUAUUCCUCUUUGUUGUAGCACAAGGUCUAAGGAAAUGUUUAGGGCUUUUGGUGUAUGUGGAAUGGAGUGGGGAAUGAUUGCAAUGAAGAGAAAAUAUGCAGAAAAUGGAAGGGAUAUGCACGGCAAAGAAUGGGAUUUUGUGAUGGUGUGUUGUGUGAUUGUUUUGUCGUCAAAUCCCCCCCCCCCCAUUGAAUGAAUGCAUUGCAUGGUUUUAUAGGGAGAGAAUGGAUGGGAGAGCAUGUUAAUGGCAGCUAGGAUGAAAGAUUAAAGGGGUUGCUAGGUUGGAAAUGAUUAAAGAGUGAGGGGAUGCAUGUGAAAAACAGCUAGGAAAAAUUGGUGGAAUGCUGGAAUUGCUAAGGGAUGCACGGCAUGGGUUGUUUGGUGUGCAUGUGGCUGAUUUGUUUGUUGGGAAAACUUGUGAGUGAAUGAUUAAAGCUGCAUGUGGAUGAAUUAUACAAUGGGAAAGUAUGUGAUUGACAACUAGGGUGAAUGGUGGCUGCAAUGAUGAAGUGUGAUGGCUAAAAAUGGCAAGGGAAGGCACGGCAAUGGGUUGGUUUGUAUGGUUGUUUUGUGUUGUGAAUUAUGAUGAAUGCAUGUGGAUUAAAGAAGGAUAUGGAAGUGAAUAAAUCAUAAUAGGGCUACAAGUUUAAAGGGCUAGGGUUUAAGUACAUAAAAUGGGCCUAAAAUAGGGUGGUUUGCAUGGCAAGGGAAUGGUGUUAUAUGGUUAAGCCCAUGGCAAGGUUGUGUAAUUGGGUUAGGGCCAUUGUUUUGUGUCCUCAAGUGCAUACAAGGCCUUCAAUUUCAUCCAACAUUUUGGCUCCAAGCCUAAGCUAUCCAUCCUUAGCCCAAUAGUGCUCCAAAAAGGCCCCUAAAUGCACUUCUUUGCUCCUUAAGCCCUUAGAACCUGAAAACACACAAAAGAAGCAUAAAGGACAAAAUAACUAAAGAAACAUAACGUAAAAGUACGAGAACAAGCCAUUUAAGUCGCAUGAAUAUGCUCCUAUCACCCCGCUGCUGCAGCUCUAAAAGAAAGCACAACGUUUGCUUGACGUGGUGCGAUGAGAGCCAUCAAACUUCCAAUGACCUAAUGAUUUGGGCUGUUGGAAUCCUAACAGUAAAAAAAAAUCUAAAAAAGUUAUUGUUGUGCCAUGUGGCAUUUCUGUAGCGUCAGGAAGAAAAAUCAAUUGAUCAUGAUUAAUCUAAUCGUUAAAAAUGGAAAAAAAAAGAAAAAAAGAAAAAAAAGGGAGGAGAAAUAGGUGUUAAUGCAAGGUACUUUUAGGCUUCUAUAGUGAUGCAGGCCGAGAAGUAAGCCAUGAAAAGCCCAAAGAAGUUCAAGACACCCAAGGCCCAAGGGGCUUAUAAAAGAAUGAUGUCGAGCUAAAGCUGACCAUUUAUAACGCCACUCCGACUAGGAUAUUUGAACUUUCCGACUGCCAAGGGCACG